GAUGAAGAACGCAGCGAAAUGCGAUAAGUAAUGUGAAUUGCAGAAUUCAGUGAAUCAUCGAAUCUUUGAACGCACAUUGCGCCCGCCAGCAUUCUGGCGGGCAUGCCUGUUCGAGCGUCAUUUCAACCCUCGAGCCCCCCCGGGGGCCUUGGUGUUGGGGGACGGCACACCAGCCGCCCCCGAAAUGCAGUGGCGACCCCGCCGCAGCCUCCCCUGCGUAGUAGCACACACCUCGCACCGGAGCGCGGAGGCGGUCACGCCGUAAAACGCCCAACUUUCUUAGAGUUGACCUCGGAUCAGGUAGGAAUACCCGCUGAACUUAAGCAUAUCAAUAAGCGGAGGA
rnacentral:misc_RNA from 1 species